rnacentral:rRNA from 1 species
UACGAGGGGGGCUAGCGUUGCUCGGAAUUACUGGGCGUAAAGGGAGCGUAGGCGGACAGUUUAGUCAGAGGUGAAAGCCCAGGGCUCAACCCUGGAAUUGCCUUUGAUACUGGCUGUCUUGAGUACGGGAGAGGUGUGUGGAACUCCGAGUGUAGAGGUGGAAUUCGUAGAUAUUCGGAAGAACACCAGUGGCGAAGGCGACACACUGGCCCGUUACUGACGCUGAGGCUCGAAAGCGUGGGGAGCAAACAGG